rnacentral:misc_RNA from 1 species
UCGUAACAAGGUUUCCGUAGGUGAACCUGCGGAAGGAUCAUUAGUGAUUAAUUAUUGAGUGUAAAAAACUCAUAAUCUUCUAUACAAACCACUGUUUUAAAAUGUUUACUAGAAUGUCCAAGCAGUUAAGCUGUUGAAAUAUUAAAAGUUUAAUAAAACUUUCAGCAACGGAUCUCUUGGUUCAGGCAUCGAUGAAGAACGCAGCGAAAUGCGAUAAGUAAUGUGAAUUGCAGAUACAGUGAAUCAUCGAAUCUUUGAACGCAAAUGGCACUCUAUGGUAUUCCGUAGAGUACGUCUGUUUGAGCGUCGCGAACAUCUCCAUAAUUAGUUUUUUUAAAUUGAUUGUGGGUUUUGAGGUUGUCAUAUAACAAUGACUCCCUUUAAAAUAAUUAGUGAUGACCUUAUGAAUGGGUUAAUACUGUGUGUUAUAAUGGAUUACAUCCAUCACCAGUCAGAGAGUAAUCUCGCCUUAGUAAUUUGUAGUGAUUGCUUCUAACUGCCAUUGGCAAACAAACUGAUCAUAUCGACCUCAAAUCAGAUGGGAUUACCCGCUGAACUUAAGCAUAUCAAUAA